UGUAGAUAUAGUCAAUAUAGAUUCUAGAUAUUUAGAAUGUAGACUGUAAAGUUUCUUAUUAAUUUUAAUACUAGAAUUGUCAUUAGAGUAUUAGAGUUUGUUUAGUAUAGUCUAGUCAGUCUAGAAUAGAAUGUCUAGAUUACUCUAGUCCUAGUACCUAGUUAUAGACUUGAUCUAUAGAUUAAAUCUAGAUCUAUAUAGACUAGAUCAAGAAGUAGAAUAGUUUAAGAGGUAAGAAAAUCUGCUAGAUCUAAAUAACUAGACCUAUAAUAUAGUCUAGAUCAUUAAUUAGAAUAUUACUAGAUCUAGAUCUAUUAACUAGUCUAGAAAAGUCUAGAUCUAUUAUCUAGUCUAGAAUAGUCUAGAUCUAACUAGAAGCUUAAUCACUCAAGUCUCAGAGUCUUUAAAAAAAGUUUAUAAGACUAGACAGAGAGUCUAGAAUACAAUUCAAUAUUGAUUGUAGUAAUAUCCAGAUUUAGAGUGUAGACUAAACUCUAGAUCAGUGAUUCCCAAAGUGGUCUAUAUAGACCCCCAGGGGUCUACGAAGACUUCCAGGGGGUCUACGAAAUUAAAAAAAUAAAUUGGGGGUCUAUGAGAGGUCCACGGGGGUCUACGAUAAUAGAUUUCAUUUAAAGCAGAUCAUUUUAAUUUUUACAUUCAUUUAAUGUAAUUAUUUUAUACAGUAAUAUAUGAUUUUUAUCUUGGUAAAUCAUUUAAACAUAUAUCCUGCUAAUCAAACCAAAGAAUUGUCUCAAUACUUAUUUAAAAAUUUUAAUUUUGUCUACAUGUAACAAAUGUUUAACAAAAAGAAAUGUACACUGUCCAGCGUUGAUUAUUUAAAACUGAGAUUCAUUCCUUCCUUGUCAAACAAGCGGUUGCCUAAGUGACUUUUUUAAAAUAAUGAUACCAAAGCAAUGGCUAGAGGAUCAUCUGAGACAAUGUCACCCUGACAAAAUAGAUAAAGAUUUAAAAAUUUUCUAGCACUCAAAGAUAAAGUUAAGAAUAGACCCACACAAUCUCACUUCAACAUCAUAUAUAUAUAGAGAAGAUGUUGGUUUGUGAGCGUCUUCCAAUAUCUCUUUACUUAUAGCAAAAUACGGAAACAUAGGUAAAACAUUAAUUUUACCAGCCGUUGUAGUUGUGAAAACUGUUUUACACACACCUACAUCUGAUAUUAUUAAAAGAAUUUCUUUAAGCAAAAAUACAAAUCAAGGGCACAUCGGUGGCAUGAGUUAUCAAAUUAAAAGCUUCUUAUGUGAUUCUUUGCAAAGGAAAUAUAUACAGUUUGGGAUCAGUUUGGAACCAGUGGCAUCACAGGCUCUGAUGGGGUGUAGCGAUGUGUGCUGUAAACUAACCCAGACUUUUUAAAAAAAAUGAUACCAAACCAAUAGCUAGAGGAUCAUCAUCAGUCUGUUGAAUUGGUGUUAAUUACAUUAAGGGACUUAAUCACUCUUUUUUUAUUUCCAGAAAAUAAUACCAGGGUUAUGCUCCUUUCACCGUUGAGUUCCAGGAUGAAGAAUGAAAGACAGAGAGCAAUGUGAAGACAUCAAAGAAUGUGCAGGUCUUCCAUGCAAUGGUUUAUCCAGGGCUAAGUACAGAGAGGAAUAUAGAAGGGCUGUUGACUGAUCUUGUGUGGUGCCCCCAUGGCUCAACAGACUGAUUGAUAGAAAAUAAUACCAGGGUUAUGUUCCUUUCACUGUUGAGUUCCAGGAUGAAGAAUGAAAGACAGAGAGCAAUGUGAAGACAUCAAAGAAUGUGCAGGUCUGCCAUGAAAUGGUUUAUCCAGGGCUAAGUACAGAGAGGAAUAUAGAAGGGCUGUUGACAGAUCUUGUGUGGUGCCCCCAUGGUUCAACAGACUGAUUGAUAGAAAAUAAUACCAGGGUAAUGGUCCUUUCACUGUUGAGUUCCAGGAUGAAGAAUGAGAAAGACAGAGAGCAAUGUGAAGACAUCAAAGAAUGUGCAGGUCUGCCAUGAAAUGGUUUAUCCAGGGCUAAGUACAGAGAGGAAUAUAGAAGGGCUGUUGACAGAUCUUGUGUGGUGCCCCCAUGGUUCAACAGACUGAUUGAUAGAAAAUAAUACCAGGGUUAUGGUCCUUUCACUGUUGAGUUUCAGGAUGAAGAAUGAAAGACAGAGCAAUGUGAAGACAUCAAAGAAUGUGCAGGUCUGCCAUGAAAUGGUUUAUCCAGGGCUAAGUACAGAGAGGAAUAUAGAAGGGCUGUUGACAGAUCUUGUGUGGUGCCCCCAUGGGUCAACAGACUGAUUGAUAGGUAAUGGUAAGAAUUUAAUGUAUUUUGUAAAAAAAUUAUAAAAAUUGGUGUUAAUUACAUGAAGGGAUUUAAUCACUCUUUUUUUAUUUCCAGAAAAUAAUACCAGGGUUAUGGUCCUUUCACCAUUAAGUUCCAGGAUGAAGAUUGAAAGACAGAGAGCAAUGUGAAGACAUCAAAGAAUGUGCAGGUCUGCCAUGAAAUGGUUUAUCCAGGGCUAAGUACAGAGAGGAAUAUAGAAGGGCUGUUGACAGAUCUUGUGUGGUGCCCCCAUGGUUCAACAGACUGAUUGAUAGGUAAUGGUAAGAAUUUAAUGUAUUUUGUAAAAAAAUUAUAAAAAUUGGUGUUAAUUACAUGAAGGGAUUUAAUCACUCUUUUUUUAUUUCCAGAAAAUAAUACCAGGGUUAUGGUCCUUUCACCAUUAAGUUCCAGGAUGAAGAAUGAAAGACAGAGAGCAAUGUGAAGACAUCAAAGAAUGUGCAGGUCUGCCAUGAAAUGGUUUAUCCAGGGCUAAGUACAGAGAGGAAUAUAGAAGGGCUGUUGACAGAUCUUGUGUGGUGCCCCCAUGGUUCAACAGACUGAUUGAUAGGUAAUGG